ensembl:lncRNA
GAAAGUUUCUCCCCAAACACUAUUUUUUACUACCUUCCUCUCCACACCCCUCAGUUUCUUACGUGCCUCACUCCAGCCAGGGCAGUAGACUGGACUCUGGCCCUUCUCCUUUGUGAAGACCACUGGCCUGUCCCCAGGAGAGAUAGUGAUGAUGAUACCUUACACCGUGGGGCAGCAUAUUGACUUAGAAAGCUACAAUUGAACAUUAUCCAUGUUGCAAUGUAUUUUUAUUUAUUUCGUUAAACUUUCCCCAGUUACAUUUUAACCUGAUUUGAUUCCACUCAGGAGUUUUGCAGGUGAAUGGCAGCCUCCAGCUGUGAGUCUGAUGCUUCUGCUUUACACUACAAUGAUACUGUGCAAUUUACAAAGGGUUUUACUCUUCAUCAUGCCCUGUGAGGUUGCUUCAUCUUGUCUGCAGGAUGGUGUGUGUGCUGCUCCCCGGGGGCAUCUGGACAGAGGUUCUGGCUGUGACCCUGCUGGUGCUGAAUUCCCAGGUGGCUGCAGGCAGACAUGCCCCAAAUUGUCCCAAAGUUCGACUAAGCAGCUGGAAAGGUUUAAAUUUGACUGUUAUUGGGGGAGCAAGGGGUAGCCUUUCCUGGAUUAAUUUCCCAGGUAUGAUUUCAAGGCCAUGAGUGACGCUGGAGUGUUUGGGACCACCCCUGAUUUUCAUGAAUAACAUCAUGGAGUAGGGGAAUGUCUUCCCAUCCAUUUCUCAGAGGCAGGUUAGGGGCAGGUACUGGUCUAGAGAGACCAAAGGGAUUGAUCCAGGCUGGCUUUUCUCCUGUCUUCAUGAUCCAUUGUUAAUGGACUGAAAAAAAAGGUGUAGUCUCAAUUUUCCCUCAUCCUCUACUCCCCUGGUCAGGCCAGGCUUGCACUCCCUACUCCCCAUCUUUCAGUGUCAUCUCUGGUCUCCAUAGUAUUGCUGCUGUCCCUGAAGCCUGGUCAGGAUCAAAGGGCCUCUGCCAUGACCCAGUAGAGGUGUAAGAUCCUUUGUUCCGGGCAGGGAGGGAGCCCUCUGGGAUGGGGCACAACCCUCUUCCAGCUAGUGUAAGUAUUAUAGGGGAACAGAUAAAAGCCCUCUGGCACUUUCUGUAUUAUUUCCCCUGCAGCCUGGCCUGGCACCUGGCCUGGCCCAUCACAGUCUCUUUGGGAUCCUAACCUGUUCUCAAGGAAUCUGACCCACUUUUGAGGUUUAUAACCUGCACUGACUCUGGGGGGAGAGUAUGUCAUGUGUAACAUCCAUUCUCCAGGGCUGGGCAAGACAGAAGGGCCUUCUAGAGACAGUCUAUUAGGGAGUGAGGAAGGAGACACUCAAGGACAGUGGGAUCUCCCAGUUCUAGCAGAGUGAUGGCUGCUUAUCCUAGCUGACAACUCCAGUAUCAUCCUGCUAUCACCCAUGGGUGUACUGAGCAGGUGCUGCCCCCUUGUGGACAAUCAUCCAAACAACACAGUAUUUAAGUAGCCUCCCAAACUUUCUUUCUUCUUUCUUUCUUCUUUCUUUCUUUCUUUCUUUCUUUCUUUUUUCUUUCUUUCUUUCUUUCUUUCUUUCUUUCUUCUUUCUUUCUUUCUUUCUUUCUUUCUUCCUUUCU